rnacentral:rRNA from 1 species
GACAGAGGGUGCAAACGUUGCUCGGAAUCACUGGGCGUAAAGGGCGCGUAGGCGGACAAGUAAGUCGGGCGUGAAAGCCCUGGGCUUAACCUAGGAAGUGCAUUCGAAACUCUCGGGCUUGAGUUCUGGAGAGGAAGGCGGAAUUCUCGGUGUAGAGGUGAAAUUCGUAGAUAUCGAGAGGAACACCGGUGGCGAAGGCGGCCUUCUGGACAGUGACUGACGCUGAGACGCGAAAGCGUGGGGAGCAAACAGG